UUGCAAAUCAUGCGACAGUCUUGUUAAAGACAGAUUCUGAGUCAGUAGGUAUCACAGAAGCCUGAGGUUCUGUACUUUAAACAAGCUGAUGAUGAUGAUGAU
rnacentral:pre_miRNA from 1 species